UAUUGUGCAUAAAACUUAAAGCAUGUAAGCAUACACAAUAAUAAUUAUCAUUAGACCUAUAGUAACUUAGACUCGUACUAUUUAGUACUUCUUUAAUAGUACCUUUAAACUAUUAGGCAUAAUGAAAUAAUGAUUAAUGAUUUCAGUGUUUUCCGCACUCGAGAGGAAAGAGGUUGCAGGGAACUUAGAGACUAAUCUUUGCCAACAUACUGGAUUUCUGGUGAUGACAAUAGCAGCAGAUAGUAUGCGGCUCAGUUAAUACUAAAAAAAUUGAUUUUACUAAUUAGUGGACUAUGAGUGUGUGUUUGGCCAUCCAGAUUUCAUAACUACAACUGAUGUUCAAUUACAAGGGAUAUUAAUCAGUCUCUGUGGACUAUACACUGUGCCUAGUUUCAUCCUCAGAGACUGAUGUGUAAGCUUAAAGUAAAGGCAUCAAAUCAAAGUAUCAGCCAUCAAGAGGAAAAACAUUCAAAAUCAUAUUGUGAUACACAAGUCAAGCAAGUCUGACCAGCAUUUUGAUACAGGCCAAGAAAAAGCUGGAUACUUGAUUGGAAGGGUUGCACAAAAAACAUGGGUUAUCACUAGGGAAACAAGCUCGCAAUACAGUUCACUGUUAGGACAGCAAGCCAAAUACUUCUAAACUUAUUUGAAUCAUUUUUGCUGUUUAUUAUAAUUCAUCCAAUUGUCUUAUUAAAUAUAUAAAUUUAUAUAUAUACACAAUUCCUAAUAUAGAAUUUCUAAAAAUGUUUUAUUAUAAUAUUUAAAAAUGAAACAAACAUGUUCCCAGAACACAGCCACAUAAUGUCAACAUGUUCCCAGAACACAGCCACAUAAUGUCAACAUGUUCCCAGAACACAGCCACAUAAUGUCAACAUGUUCCCAGAACACAGCCACAUA